GACGAACGCUGGCGGCGUGCUUAACACAUGCAAGUCGAACGGAAAGGCCCUGCGUUUGUGGGGUGCUCGAGUGGCGAACGGGUGAGUAACACGUGAGUAACCUGCCCUUGACUUUGGGAUAACUUCAGGAAACUGGGGCUAAUACCGGAUAGGAGCUCCUGCUGCAUGGUGGGGGUUGGAAAGUUUCGGCGGUUGGGGAUGGACUCGCGGCUUAUCAGCUUGUUGGUGGGGUAGUGGCUUACCAAGGCUUUGACGGGUAGCCGGCCUGAGAGGGUGACCGGCCACCUUGGGCCUGCGAUACGGCCCAGACUCCUACGGGCGGCAGCGGUGGGGAAUAUUGCACAGUGGGCGGGCGCCUGAUGCAGCAACGCCGCGUGCGGGAUGCCGGCCUUCGGGUUGUAAACCGCUUUCGCCUGUGACGAAGCGUGAGUGACGGUAAUGGGUAAAGAAGCACCGGCUAACUACGUG
rnacentral:rRNA from 1 species